AAUCCAUUAUGGGAAAGUGAUAGGGCUAUUGCCUAUAAUUACCAGGAAUUCCUUGCAGAAUUUAAAUUAACAUUUGAACCAUUAAGAAGGGAGGAUGACACUUCCACUGCCCUAAUGUGUAUCAAACAAGUGAACUGGUCUGUCUCAGAUUAUGCCAUAUAAUUCUGCACCCUAGCUUCUGAGAUAGACUGGACUAAACUACCUUGUGGGCUUUUACACCUGCAUCCUAUACCCAGUAGUCCAUGGUCCCAUUUGUCUAUGGACUUUAUCAUGGAACUACCUAUUUCUAAAGGUUACAACACCAUCCUGAUGGUUGUUGACCGCUUUUCUAAAUUUGUUCCGCUUAAAAAGAUUCCCUCUUCCCAAGAGCUGGCCCACAUAUUUAUACGCGAAAUAGUCAGAUUGCAUGGAAUUCUUCUUAAUAUUGUGUCAGAUAGGGGUACCCAGUUUGUGUCACGAUUUUGGAGAGCAUUUAACAAAUAGUUUGGUAUUGAACUAUCUUUUUCAUCAUCUUACCAUCCCCAAACCAAUGGAGUGGCUGAGAGAGUCAAUCAAUCAUUGGAACAAUAUUUGAGAUG